CCUACGGGUGGCAGCAGUGGGGGAUAUUGCACAAUGGGGGAAACCCUGAUGCAGCAACGCCGCGUGUGGGAAGAAGGUCUUCGGAUUGUAAACCACUGUUCUUGGUGAAGAUAAUGACGGUAACAAUGGAGAAUGCUCUGGCUAACUACGGGCCAGCAGCCGCGGUAAUACGGAGGGCGCACGCGUUGUCCGGAUUUACUGGGUGUAAAGGGUGCGUAGGCGGUCUUGCAAGUCAGACGUGAAAACCUCAGGCUCAACCUGUGGACUGCGUUUGAAACUGGGGGGCUUGAGUGAAGUAGAGGUAGGCGGAAUUCCCGGUGUAGCGGUGAAAUGCGUAGAGAUCGGGAGGAACACCGGUGGCGAAGGCAGCCUACUGGGCUUGAACUGACGCUGAGGUACGAAAGCAUGGGUAGCAAACAGGAUUAGAUACCCGAGUAGUC
rnacentral:rRNA from 1 species